CCUACGGGAGGCUUAGUGGGGAAUAUUGCACAAUGGGCGAAAGCCUGAUGCAGCAACGCCGCGUGAGUGAUGAAGGCCUUCGGGUUGUAAAGCUCUGUCUUCUGGGACGAUAAUGACGGUACCAGAGGAGGAAGCCACGGCUAACUACGUGCCAGCAGCCGCGGUAAUACGUAGGUGGCAAGCGUUGUCCGGAUUUACUGGGCGUAAAGGAUGCGUAGGCGGAUGCUUAAGUCAGAUGUAAAAAUCCCGAGCUUAACUUGGGAACUGCAUUUGAAACUGGGUAUCUAGAGUGCGGGAGAGGAGAGUGGAAUUCCUAGUGUAUCGGUGAAAUGCGUAGAGAUUAGGAAGAACACCAGUGGCGAAGGCGACUCUCUGGACCGUAACUGACGCUGAGGCAUGAAAGCGUGGGGAGCAAACAGGAUUAGAUACCCUGGUAGUCCACGCCGUGAACUAUGAAUACUAGGUGUGGGAGUUGUCAUGACUUCCGUGCCGCAGUUAACACAAUAAGUAUUCCGCCUGGGGAGUACGGACGCAAGAUUAAAACUCAAAGGAAUUGACGG
rnacentral:rRNA from 1 species